UGCCCCCAUCUUCACCACUCUCUCCCUCCUGCCUCUAGCCCCACUCUCUCCCUCCUGCCUCUAACCCCACUCUCUCCCUGCUGUCUCUAACCUCACUCUCUCCCCUCUGCUCCGCGUAUCUCCCCUCUCUGCCCCCAUCUUCACCACUCUCUCCAAUUCUCUUCAUCUCCCUCUCUGCUGUCUCUAACUCCACUCUCUCCCCUCUGUGCUGUCUCUAACCCCACUCUCUCCCUCCUGCCUCUAACCCCACUCUCUCUGCUGCUGUCUCUAACCCCACUCUCUCCCCUCUCUACCCCCAUCUUCACAACUCUCUCCCUCCUGCCUCUAACCCCACUCUCUCUCUCUGCUGCCUCUAACCCCACUCUCUCUCUCCUCUCUACCCCAAUCUUCACCACUCUCUCCCUUUCUCUUCAUCUCUCUCUGCCGCCUCUAGCCCGAUUCUCUCCCCGACGUGGACAUUUGUAAUCCUCCUCGCGUCACGUGCAUCCAGUUCCUGGUCUCGUAUCGUCCCACCGCUCACUUUCGCCUCUCUCUCACUCACUCUCUCGUCUCAGUCAAAUUCGUGAAGCGUUCUCGUCUCACUCUCACCAUCUCGGUCUCUCGCUCCCCCAUCUCUCGCCCCCCAUCUCACUCCCCGUCUCUCUCCCCUCUCUCCUCUCUCUCCCCCGUCUCUCUCCCCCGUCUCUCUCUCGUCUCACUCCAACCAUCUCGGGUUCACUCCACCAUCUCACUCCCCCGUCUCUCUCCCCUCUCUCGACCCGUCUCACUCUCUCCCCGUCUCUCACUUGGACAUGUUGCUCAAACCGCACGGAUUAACUCCACCUCGUGAGACCAGACGCCCCGGGACCAUAAAGGGCCACCCACACAUCAGUAUCGAAGGCGCACUCCCAAACCGUGGCCACGGACCCCAGUUCGAUUCCCGGCCGCCGUCAGCCACAUCGAGUGGCGAGUGCGUGAGCCGGUCGUCCCGUGCCUCCGUCUUUCCGCCGAGUAUCGAUUCUGCCUUCGGUCUAAGGAGACGUCUGCCCUGAUCAAGGAGGCCUCCAGCUUAACACGAGGGCGAGGACGGGGUGGUGGUGGUGGUGGUUGCGGUGGUGGUUGUCGGUGGUGGUGGCUGUUGUU